GACGAACGCUGGCGGCGUGCUUAACACAUGCAAGUCGAACGGUAAGGCUCCAGCUUGCUGGGGUACACGAGUGGCGAACGGGUGAGUAACACGUGGGUGACCUGCCCUGCACUUCGGGAUAAGCCUGGGAAACUGGGUCUAAUACCGGAUAGGACCGCACCGUGAGGGUGUGGUGGAAAGUUUUUUCGGUGUGGGAUGGGCCCGCGGCCUAUCAGCUUGUUGGUGGGGUAAUGGCCUACCAAGGCGGCGACGGGUAGCCGGCCUGAGAGGGUGGACGGCCACAUUGGGACUGAGACACGGCCCAGACUCCUACGGGAGGCAGCAGUGGGGAAUAUUGCACAAUGGGCGGAAGCCUGAUGCAGCGACGCCGCGUGGGGGAUGACGGCCUUCGGGUUGUAAACUCCUUUCACCAUCGACGAAGGGUUUCUGACGGUAGAUGGAGAAGAAGCACCGGCUAACUACGUGCCAGCAGCCGCGGUAAUACGUAGGGUGCGAGCGUUGUCCGGAAAUACUGGGCAUAAAGAGCUCGUAAGUGGUUUGUCGCGUCGUCUGUGAAAUUCCGGGGCUUAAUUCCGGGCGUGCAGGCGAUACGGGCAUAACUUGAGUACUGUAGGGGAGACUGGAAUUCCUGGUGUAGCGGUGAAAUGCGCAGAUAUCAGGAGGAACACCGGUGGCGAAGGCGGGUCUCUGGGCAGUAACUGACGCUGAGGAGCGAAAGCAUGGGGAGCGAACAGGAUUAGAUACCCUGGUAGUCCAUGCCGUAAACGGUGGGCGCUAGGUGUGGGUUUCCUUCCACGGGAUCCGUGCCGUAGCUAACGCAUUAAGCGCCCCGCCUGGGGAGUACGGCCGCAAGGCUAAAACUCAAAGGAAUUGACGGGGGCCCGCACAAGCGGCGGAGCAUGUGGAUUAAUUCGAUGCAACGCGAAGAACCUUACCUGGGCUUGACAUAUACAGGAUCGCGCCAGAGAUGGUGUUUCCCUUGUGGCUUGUAUACAGGUGGUGCAUGGUUGUCGUCAGCUCGUGUCGUGAGAUGUUGGGUUAAGUCCCGCAACGAGCGCAACCCUUGUCUUAUGUUGCCAGCACGUUGUGGUGGGGACUCGUAAGAAACUGCCGGGGUUAACUCGGAGGAAGGUGGGGAUGACGUCAAAUCAUCAUGCCCCUUAUGCCCAGGGCUUCACACAUGCUACAAUGGUCGGUACAGUGGGUUGCCAGUCCGUGAGGGCGAGCUAACCCCGCAAAGCCGGUCUCAGUUCGGAUCGGGGUCUGCAACUCGACCCCGUGAAGUCGGAGUCGCUAGUAAUCGCAGAUCAGCAACGCUGCGGUGAAUACGUUCCCGGGCCU
rnacentral:rRNA from 1 species